AGCUUUUACCUGGUGUCAGCAAUUUUCUUUUAUUAGGAGAAGGUAUGAGGAAGGUACCAAACAGCAGCAGGCUUUUAAAGUUUAGGCAGGUAUGACUCUUGAACUUACUUUGUCAUUUACUUCAUCCUCCAAGGCGUGCAAUCACUUGGCGUGCCUACUUCCCUUUCAAAUGCAAGAACAAGGAAUGCUCAACAUG
rnacentral:other from 1 species